UCCCCGUUACCGGGGCAGUCUGAAUAGAAAAAUACAACUAUUCACAAGGGUUGCGCUCGUUGAUGGACUUAAUCAAACAUCUCACGACACGAGCUGACGACGGCCAUGCAUCACCUGUCACUUGGCUCAAUAAAGCACUCUCUGCUUUCACAGAAAUUCCAAGGAUGUCAAACCCUGGUAAGGUUCUUCGUUUAUCAUCGAAUUAAACCGCACGCUCCGCUGCUUGUGCGGGCCCCCGUCAAUUCCUUUGAGUUUUAGCCUUGCGGCCGUACUCCCCAGGCGGGAUGCUUACUGCGUUAGCUGCGCCACCAACGAGCAAGCUCGCUGACGGCUAGCAUCCAUCGUUUACGGCGUGGACUAC
rnacentral:misc_RNA from 1 species